rnacentral:lncRNA from 1 species
GAAGCCUUCAAUUUUUUUUUUUUUUUUGUAAGCUGCGUGUGCUCAGAUUGAGGAAGCAGUUUUGUCACACAUGUUCAACACGUUCCACGCUGGUCACAAGCUAGCAAGGUGAGGAAACCUAGGCUCAAGUUGACACUCAAGCUCACCUUGCAAGAUAGUGGCAGAGCUGAUAAGACUCCCUCAUUAGUGCAGUCAAUCUUGAAGUUCUCCCCGGUGAGAAGGGUGAAGGUGACUUCAACACCCCUGAGAGGACGGCUGGAUAUUGACAAGACCCAGAAAAAGACAGUGGGAAAAAUCUCUACCAUAUGAGGCUAUAAUCCUAGCUGUGGUCAAUGUGUUGAAAGCUUUAUAUUUCCUGACCACAGGAUCUUUCUAUAAAAUGAUCAGGGAGGAGGGAUAUUCCUAGGAUUAGCCAGCUGGCUAUUCCUAUAUGCUUAUUAAAAUUUCU